GGGCUUGGGGAAGGUGGAAGUUGUCAGGAAAUAAACAUCAUAUUGAAAAAAUUACAGUCAGCUUUUGCAGGUAGAAAUCAGUCUACAUCUCUGUGGGACUGGAGUGAAAAAUAAGGGCCAAGGGUCUCAGAAAGAUGAGAACCUAAUGAUGUCAUAAUUGGUCUGCCAGAUAGUGUUGUUUCCAAAGAUUACUCAAGAAAUGAAACACACACCAAAAAUGAGAGAGAUCUAAAUAAAGAGGAAAAUUACUGUGUUCAUUGAA